ACUUUCUUUAAUUGAAGAAGAAUCUCGAUCGUAUACAAGGUAAAGAUGAAAUGACCUGGACCUUCAAUAAUACGAAGAGACGAGAUUUGAAGCAACAAUUUGAAAUGCUAGUGAUUUGUACCGAAUACAAACAAUAUGGGAUAAGAUGCUUGUUAAAGAGUAUGAACAUCUUGUAGAGAAGGUAAAGGAGUAGUAGAUUCCCGAAGAUAUCCCUUUCAAGGAAUACCUAUAGAUAAUCCUACUGUUGGACUUAAUAUCAUGAUGUCCGUUCUAAGUACAAAGCCCAGACAUCAAAUUCGUGGGUUGAAAGAUGGUCGCCUUUGAGAUAUUAAAACAUCUUCUUCCAAUGUACGCAAUAUGGAGGAUUUAGAAGCAGAACGUGCUGCUCAAAAGGUUGAAUAUGCAGCUCAAGUGAAAAUGGAGCAAAGGAUACAAAACAAGUUGAAGGUUGUUAAGCAACAAUUCAAUUCUAUUUUGCAAUCUUGGCAUCACUCUAUGCACCAGUUACGUGGUAAAGUACCUGGCUUUGUGGUAACAUCAUUUACACUACUGUCAACAGAGAUUAAUACUACUGAGGAAAAUGAUGCUAUUCAUGAGGACAAAGAGAACAACUUUGAAGAGGAUCAGUUGAAUACCUAAUUUACGAGGAUGAACAGUAGUGUUUUUUAGAUGCAUAAUAAUAGAUAUAGAGGAUGUUUGCUAUAUUAUUUUUAUGUCCAGGUAUAACCAUACUUAGUGAAUGAUUUUUAUUUAUAUUUUUUUGAAAUAUUUUGGAUUCAAUAUUACAUUGAUUGGCAUUA